rnacentral:lncRNA from 1 species
GUCUGGCCAGGCUGUGUCACCUCUCCAUGCCUCAGCGUCCUCAUCUGCAAAGUGAGUAACAACAGAAUCUACCUCGGAGAUGGAUUAGAUGGAGUACUGCAUGUGAAGCAUUGAGGCCAAGGAACCACCUCAUUGUGCGUGCUCCAGGAAGCUGGCACAUAGAGGGCAUUGGAUAUAUACUGCAUGAACAGAUGAAGAGAUGACUAAAGACCAGCACAAAGGUGAGGCAGGCAAUGGGCGUGAGUAACCAGGCAGGUGUGGUGAGUACAUGUGCACAUCUGGAUGGGGGGG